GGAGAUGUAGCUCAAUGGUAGAGCACUUCCCUGGCAUGCAAGAGGCCCUAGAAUACAUCCCCA
rnacentral:tRNA from 1 species